rnacentral:rRNA from 1 species
UACAGAGGUGGCAAGCGUUGUUCGGAAUUACUGGGCGUAAAGGGCGCGUAGGCGGUUCGAUAAGUCCCGUGUGAAAUCCCUCGGCUCAACUGAGGAAUGGCACGGGAAACUGACGGGCUUGAGUUCGGGAGAGGGAAGCGGAAUUCCGGGUGUAGCGGUGAAAUGCGUAGAUAUCCGGAGGAACACCGGUGGCGAAGGCGGCUUCCUGGACCGACACUGACGCUGAGGCGCGAAAGCUAGGGGAGCAAACAGG